UGCCCCAAUCUGCUGUUUGGAACUGGCUUGUCAGUCCUUCUCAAAGCUCUCAGUAACAUCAUGGCACCUGCGUGCGUUCACCACGCGGCUCUCUGCCCUACACCAGGCCACAGGCUGCACAGUCAGAAUGUCUCAAGCGUGGUUUCCGUCACCCUAAGGCAAGGGAUCUAUCUAGUUCAGUGGUUCUCAACUAGGGGUGAUUUCGGUAACAUCUGGAGACGUUCCUGGUGGUCACAGCAGGAGAUGGGUCUAUUGGCAUUUAGUGGGCAGAAGCCAGGGAUGCUGCCAAAUAUCCUCCAACGCAGAGGGUACCCCCCUACAGCAAAGGAUCACCUGCUCUAGUUGAGGAGGUGAGGCAGGGGGAACAUAGCUGAUCCCAAAGGGAACGAAGUCAGACACUCUGUAAAUAGAUGUCCUAUUAUGAGAGUUGCAGAGGCUAGGGGGAAAGGCACACAGAUUCCAAGGGCUGCUGCAGCCUCAGUUUCCACUUCUAUGGAAUAAGAGGCUUAGAGGUUGUGCUUACAAACUACCACUGAUGCGCUGUUUCGACCCCUUCCUCUCUUAGACAAAAAUCUCCUUCUACUCUCAGAGUUUAAAUUAGGAAUAUUUGGUGGUGUGAUCAUGUAUGUUUAAAACCAAACAGAAAUUUCCUGUUCCCCAGCACAAAAUAAAAUUCGAGUUUAUAAAAGGGCCUGUAAAAUCUCAUAAUCAAGCCCAUUAGCCAAGCUAAAUGCUCCACUUUGAUUUCGUGGUGUUUAGCUUUCUUUUCUUAGUACCACUUCAUUAGCACGCUUUUAAUGGAUGCUCUUCCAGCUUGCUUCUUGAAAUUGCUGAAAAAGAAAACACACGACUUUAAAGUACAAGAUACAACAGAAAUAUCCCUCCCGCUUUCAAUAUGGAGGCUCAGGGAGUGCAGAGAAUGUCGGGGGGCACAAGGAAAGAGAGCAUGGCCCCAGAUACCAUGCCUUGCUGGAGCGUUGGGAUCUCCUACCGCAUUUCUGCUCCCUGGCCUCGUUGCCAGUGGCCUCGCUAAUUUCCAGCUCUUUGCUGCUUCAGACGACCAGAUUUUCUUGAUUAAUAACAAAAGGUUUUGUUGGGAUCAGAGCUGUUUCCCACCAUCUCUAUGCAAACCCCAGCAACACAAACCGCGUACAUUAGCAUUUCAAGGCACCUCCUAUUACGGACAGCAAGAAAAGCCCCUCUUGGUGGCACUUGCCCUUGGACACUGCGGAGCUCUGAAAGCAUGAAGCCUUUCUGGACAUACGGAGGCAAGAAUCCACAAAUUCCGUUCACAGGAGAACUCCAAAAGUCAUUCUGAACUUGUGGUUCGAACUUUUAAUUGUCUUUUUCGUGAUUUCUUA
rnacentral:lncRNA from 1 species